CCAGAGUUGACAAAACCAGAGUAACUCCAGAUUAAAUCAAUCCAGGAAACAUCCAGUGUUUAUUUGCUUUUUUAUUUCCCUCUGUUUGCCCCGCCCUGCUCUCGUUUAGUUUCUGAAGAAAUAAAGCCUCAGAUGACAGAAGCAGUUUCCAUUUGUCCUUUUACUCUGACAGAGACAUGGAUCCCGUCACUGGUCUGGCCAUGGUAGCAGGUGCAGCGGGAGCUGUGGUUGCUGCUCCUGUUGUUUUGGGGGCUGCAGGGUUCACCUCAGCUGGAAUAGCAGCCGGCUCAUAUGCUGCAGGGAUGAUGUCCUCUGCAGCGAUUGCCAAUGGAGGAGGAGUGGCAGCUGGAAGUGUGGUGGCUGUUCUGCAGUCAGCAGGUAUGGCUGGUCUAUCAACGGCUGCCUCUGCAGCUGUGGGUGGUGUUGGAGCAGCAGCAGGAUACGUAGCAAGUCUCUUUUUUUGAAGAAAUGUUACAGAAAUCCCGUGUCUGCUUUUUGAAAUUGACAAUGCUGUUGCGCAAUGUUCUUGAGAUCUACAAAGAGAUCUACAAAGUGUUUCAGCAUAAUGUUCAUUUCCCUACAUGAUUCUUGCUCCAUCGUUCAGCUUAUUAAAAAAAAAACGUCUGAACAAAGCGUUCAUGGUCAUUUGGUCUUUUGCAGCUGAAGCUGAAUGGGUCUGACCAGUUUAGGAAUGUUGUUUAUUUUCUUUUUCUGAUAUUACAGUUGACAGAAAAACAUUGCACAUGCAUACAUAUAUUCACAUGCAAUGAAAAGACAAGGGUUUCCUCUUCAAUAAUGACACAUUUCAGGCAAUACAAGGUGAAAUAGCAUCUUUGCAGGGAAACAGUUUUCUUUUUCUUUUUGCGCAAUUUUCUUGAGAUGUACAAUGAGAUCUACAAAUUGUUUCAGCAUAAUGUUUAUUUCCCUACACAGUCCUUGCACUGUCAUUCAGCUUAUUAAAGAAAAAAAUUUGAACAAAGUG